UGCCGUCAGCCGUCAUUUGGGGACCAGAGGCGGUUUGGGCAUCUAGAAGUUGGUUUGGUGGGCGGAAUUUGAAUGUUAAGGAUUGAUGGCCCCUCGCGGGCGAUAGGAAGGCGGAGGCCUCAACUCAGGACGUCUGUGUGCACAGCCUGCCAAGCGGCCGAUCUGCUAUGCACGAACGCACCUAGCAAGCCUGGAAGUUUUGUCGCUAUCACCGCCUUCAGUGGCAGCAACGAAGCCUCCUGCCCUGGAGCCCGACGUGGUUCGAGCCAGGGACUUGGUUUAAGAGGCGUAGCGUUGGCAUCUUUUAUGCGAGCCUGCCAGGCGGCACACUACCCUAGGGGCAGGAGCAAACUCGGGCAGAACUCGGGCGUGGGAAGCGGGUUCCUCAUUACUUUGCUGUUUUGCUGCCUUGUGCCCACCAUAAGCUGUCUCUCUCCUUUGAUGCCUUUCUGCCAUGCCACCCUGACUUGGAGCCAGCCAACUAUGGACUGAACCUCUGCAAAUCAUGAGCCUAAUAUAAACUCUUCCCCCUUUAACUUUGAGCGUCUGCUGCAUCCAGCACAUCUCUCAAAGUUCCCAGGAGGAAAGAGAGCAAGAGGAUGGAGAAGUAAAGAUAAAAGACAGAAAGCUCAGUGCCAGUGGCCCAAACGAGGGCUCCUUGGGCGAACAUCCCAGCACUGAGCUACCCCAGCCCCCGGCGAUCUCUCCAGCUAGUACCACACGGUUUUGAAGUCGGACUGAGUUGCUCCUGCGACUUUCUUCUAAUUCUCUAACACUGGGCAGCCCUUCCAUGUCUUUCUCCCUGUAAACUUGAAGAUCCCCCUGUCAGCACACACACCAUAGCUUGCUGGGCUUUUGCUUGGGAUUGUAUUGCAGGUGCAGUUGGGAAGAACGGACAUGGAGCAACUGAGUCUCCCUGCUGUGAAGGGGGGUUCUCCCCACCGAUUUAUUCUUUGCUUUAUUUCAUCCAAGUUUUGCAGUUUACCUUAUAUAAUUGUUGGACUUAUUU